AAAAUACCCAACUGUUUAUCAAAAACAUAACUGUAUGAGAUACUAUGCAGCUUUUUCUGCUCCAUGAUAUGUUAAAUAGCCGCAGUACCCUGACUGUGCAAAGGUAGCAUAAUCAAUUGGCUUUUAAUUAAAGUCUAGCAUGAACGAACGCAUGGGUAGUUACUGUCUAAAGGAUGUUAAUAUAAAAUUAUCAAGUUGGUGCAAAUGCCAACAAAAUUAAAAAAGACGAGAAGACCCUAGAAACUUAUAGUUGAUUUUGCUGGGGCGGCAGAAUUGCAUAUAACCAAUUUUAAUUAACGUGAAGCGACGCAGAAAGAAAAAGUUACUCUAGGGAUAACAGCAUAAUUUUAAUAGUUUGUGACCUCGAUGUUGGACUAGGGAUUCUACCCCCUAGAAGGGAGUAGUUAUGGCUCUGUUCGAGCUAAGAGCCCCUACAUGAUCUGAGUUCAGACCGGCGCGAGCC
rnacentral:rRNA from 1 species